AUUGGCCGGCAGCUCUCUGCAACUCUCACAUGGUCGCCCACUGAAGCUAAGCAGGGCUGCGCCCGGUCAGUACCUGGAUGGGAGACCAUAUGGGAAAGCUAGGUUGCUGCUGGAA
rfam:Danio rerio chromosome 7, GRCz11 reference primary assembly.